rnacentral:rRNA from 1 species
AUGCAGUCGAACGGUGAACACGGAGCUUGCUCUGUGGGAUCAGUGGCGAACGGGUGAGUAACACGUGAGCAACCUGCCCCUGACUCUGGGAUAAGCGCUGGAAACGGCGUCUAAUACUGGAUACGAGUAGCGACCGCAUGGUCAGUUACUGGAAAGAUUUAUUGGUUGGGGAUGGGCUCGCGGCCUAUCAGCUUGUUGGUGAGGUAAUGGCUCACCAAGGCGUCGACGGGUAGCCGGCCUGAGAGGGUGACCGGCCACACUGGGACUGAGACACGGCCCAGACUCCUACGGGAGGCAGCAGUGGGGAAUAUUGCACAAUGGGCGCAAGCCUGAUGCAGCAACGCCGCGUGAGGGAUGACGGCCUUCGGGUUGUAAACCUCUUUUAGCAGGGAAGAAGCGAAAGUGACGGUACCUGCAGAAAAAGCGCCGGCUAACUACGUGCCAGCAGCCGCGGUAAUACGUAGGGCGCAAGCGUUAUCCGGAAUUAUUGGGCGUAAAGAGCUCGUAGGCGGUUUGUCGCGUCUGCUGUGAAAUCCGGAGGCUCAACCUCCGGCCUGCAGUGGGUACGGGCAGACUAGAGUGCGGUAGGGGAGAUUGGAAUUCCUGGUGUAGCGGUGGAAUGCGCAGAUAUCAGGAGGAACACCGAUGGCGAAGGCAGAUCUCUGGGCCGUAACUGACGCUGAGGAGCGAAAGGGUGGGGAGCAAACAGGCUUAGAUACCCUGGUAGUCCACCCCGUAAACGUUGGGAACUAGUUGUGGGGUCCAUUCCACGGAUUCCGUGACGCAGCUAACGCAUUAAGUUCCCCGCCUGGGGAGUACGGCCGCAAGGCUAAAACUCAAAGGAAUUGACGGGGACCCGCACAAGCGGCGGAGCAUGCGGAUUAAUUCGAUGCAACGCGAAGAACCUUACCAAAGGCUUGACAUAUACGAGAACGGGCCAGAAAUGGUCAACUCUUUGGACACUCGUAAACAGGUGGUGCAUGGUUGUCGUCAGCUCGUGUAGCCGUGGAGAAUGUUGGGUUAAGUCCCGCAACGAGCGCAACCCUCGUUCUAUGUUGCCAGCACGUAAUGGUGGGGAACUCAUGGGAUAACUGCCGGGGUCAACUCGGAGGAAGGGUGGGGA